rnacentral:rRNA from 1 species
UACAGAGACUGCAAGCGUUAUUCGGAUUCACUGGGCGUAAAGGGUGCGCAGGCGGCCGAGUGUGUGAGGCGUGAAAGCCCGGGGCUUAACCCCGGAAUUGCACCUCAAACUACACGGCUAGAGCAUUGGAGAGGGUAGCAGAAUUCAUGGUGUAGCAGUGAAAUGCGUAGAUAUCAUGAGGAACACCAAUUGCGAAGGCAGCUCGCUGGAACGUAACUGACGCUGAGACGCGAAAGCGUGGGGAGCAAACAGG